rnacentral:piRNA from 1 species
UCCAAAGUCACAAAAUAUGUUGUUCUGCCU